UACGAAGGGGGCUAGCGUUGCUCGGAAUUACUGGGCGUAAAGGGCGCGUAGGCGGCUAGUUUAGUCAGAGGUGAAAGCCCAGGGCUCAACCUUGGAAUUGCCUUUGAUACUGGCUAUCUUGAGUACGGGAGAGGUGUGUGGAACUCCGAGUGUAGAGGUGAAAUUCGUAGAUAUUCGGAAGAACACCAGUGGCGAAGGCGACUUACUGGACACAUAUUGACGCUGAGGUGCGAAAGCGUGGGGAGCAAACAGG
rnacentral:rRNA from 1 species